CCCAGGCGCUAGCCGCGGAUCCCUUUGCCGGCUCCGAGGGGUCGUGGAGGCGGCGCCGCCAUCGUUGUGGACCUCUGGGUCGCCAUCUGGACACCUCUGCUGAGGUACGCCUUCGCCUUCGCACGCCGCCGACCUCCCAGAGGAGACGCCGCCACGAUCUGCGCUAAACCCUAGGCAUCAACCACCAUGCUCCCGUCCUCCGGUUCCUCCUGCGUUCGCCACCAUGCGAUCGCCUUCCUCCCUCAGGUUCUUGUACGGAACAUACCACCAGACCCUGAUGAAUCAGAUAGCAAGCCUGUGGAACAUUUCUUCCUUGUCAAUCAUCCUGAUCAUCAUCUGAAACAUCAGGUAAUCACUAAAUUUUGGAACAUCUCUCAUUUGAAGAAUCAUCUGCAAAUUCAAAUGUAAGGAAGUGUGCAGUGCAAGCAAUUAUCAGGGUAAAUCUAUUUCUCAAUUAUGUAUUUUUACCACUUCAUCAGGAGUGUAAACUGAUAGUAUUUCCAACUACAAAGUGUUGGCUGCCCAGGAAGAAGGAAAGGUCAGUCCAGACAUGACAUUUAACUAUAAUAAUGGAGGUAUGUAGUGCCUACUGCUCCCUUGUCCCUUGCUACCGGCUGGGGAUGCUCGGCUCGCCAGCGAUGGGGAUGCUCGGCGGACAGUCCCUGCUCUCAUUUUCCUCCAGCCUCUGGUAACCCUCCUCCUCACCUGCCUCGCUGAAGCGGGAUUCACAGGUUAGUUUAGUUUGGAGGGAUUUCCUGUGGUUGUGCGUGAAUCCAGUGUUCACUGGUCUUGUAUGUUUCAUUCCUAAUAUGCUAGCUCCUGCCUAAACACGCAUUAGAGAAUCUCAUGUAUGUAACAGAAGAUACACAAAUGUGGUUUUCCAGGGAGCAUCAGGUACAUCUUAUGUGGGGAUGAACCAUCAGCUAAAGGGAGUGAUAGGAAAAUAUUUUGUUGAAUGCAAUGGGAAGGCGAAAAACGACACGCCUUGGCGAAGCAACUCUAAGAUUCGGUAAGGCUAAUCAAGUCUGCAAUCAAAUCCAAGAGCAGGGGCAGAGAAAAACAUUAAAAUACUUUUUAGGGCAGAGAAACGUUAAAAUACUUUUUAGCUAUUGAUUGAAGUAACUGGUAAUUAGUAGCAGGAGCAACAAUUGUAGUAAGAACCUACCUAGGCAUAUUUUCUCUCUUUCCUAUCACAUGGCACAUUGAAUAACUUUAUAGUACAAAUACAUUCACAUAUGUUAUUUUAAAUUAUCAUGUGAUGGAGGUUCUCGUUAUUUCGAAUCUUUGGUCGGAACCUUCAUUUUGUGUUAUUAAAUGCACAUGGUAUUCAGUUAUCUCCAUUAUGGUGAGAAGACUUUGAUCUUGAUAUAUCAGAUUUAAGCCUCCUACACCAUAGGAGGUCCUCCUUUUGGUGAUAUUCACUCAUAUGUCAUUCUAAAUUAUCAUGUCAUGGAGGCGAUGGGUAUUUCAAAUCUUUGGUUGGAACCUUCAUUUUGCGUUAAAUUCACAUGGUAUUCAGUUAUCUCCAUUAUUACCAGUAGCAAUGCACAAGCACUUUCUAUUAAAUGCACAUGCUAUUUUCUUUUGUAUCAUGUCAUUUUGUGGUCAUUAACAAUCAGAUGGAUGAAAUUGAUCUUGUUUUGUGCAUCAUGGAUUUUCCUCAACUGAAUGAGUAGAAACAUAAGUGUGUAAUGUAGUAGCCCCUCUAUUCCAUUGUUAUAAAUAUUAUAGUUUUUCAAUCUUCUGACCUGAUCGUAACAGCUGUUUAAAAGGAAGUGAUCACAUCACUAUUUAGAUUUUACUUUUUUGUAUGCUUAAACAUAAGAUUAGUUUGUCCCCUUUCUUUUUACCCUUCAUGCUAACAUAAUAAAUACAUAUUUGAACUGAAUCGGUUGUAUUACAUAUGCCACGAAGGAUGUCGCUGCUUGAAGCUCAAUUUCCAUCAGCCCCUCUUUUAAUUCACUUGCAUUGUUUCAGCUUUGCAUUGUACUUCUUUGACGAAUUACCUCAUCCAAUCGGCUUUAAUUCGGAGCGUCAGUCUUACUAAUUAUCAUUGCCUUAACUUUUCAUAUGAACCUCUUACAGGAAACAAGGACUCCUAUUUGUCUGUAGUACUGCCCAUGAGACUCAACCUUGUUUUACCUUAAUUAUCAUGGUGUGCCUGUUUUUAGAAUAGCUCACCAUUUUGUUAGUGGCAAUAAAAUGCAUCUUUAGGCACACCUAUAGCGCACAUGUGAUGAUGUACAGAUGAAAGAAAGAUCUUAGAAGUUGAGAAGCCGAGAGCUGGAGGAAUAAGGAGAAGCUAAAAAGACAGAAGAAGUCAGAGCAUGUGGAGCUGUUGGGCAAGCAGAGUUCUAUCUGGGUAUUUAGGUAGAUGAGGAUAAAAGGGAAAAGGUAAAUGUUGACGAUAUAGCUACUCAAUGCUGAGAAUGUUGCCUGCAUACUUUGUUGCCUAUAUAUCAUUGGCUUUGUAUUGAUCCAGGCAAGAACAAUCAGAUGGAACAAGUUUGCUACGGGUGGGUGUGCAUCAAGUUGCUUCGUUGCCGGCGGCGAGUAAUCUCACACAUGUUUAUGGUGCAUAUGUACCGGAAAAUUCAAAUGGUACUACCCGAUGUGCCUUUCAUACGAAACAGUUUAUGCUUAUGGGUGUUCAUCUUUGUUUCUGUAUACAGCUUACGGCUUUUUUGUUGAUCCCUUCCCUGUAGGUUCUGAUCAUACGUACGAGGGGAAUCAGGUAGGGCUUGAUGCGCCUUUCAUACGAAAUGUUGAUGAGAAUUACCCAAGUAGUCCAAGUAUGAGGCUGUGCGGAUAUAGUAAUCAUAAUUUUCAGUGGCAUCGGCAUGUUCUAAUAAAUAAGAUGGGAAGUUCAGAAUAAUGUAACAUCGGCAUGUUCUAAUAAAUAAAAUAAGAGAAGGUUGGGUAUACUGAAGCAGACCCCUUAUAAUUAUGAACGGUUUAUAAAGUUGAAGGAUGAAACUUGAACGAACACAAUUCUAAGGUUUGUAAAGUGAAGCCAAAGACAAGUUCGAGGGGUAAUGUGGACUUCUCUCAAACUAUAUUAUUAGAGGACAAUGAGGGUCUUGAAGACAAUGAAAGCGAUCAGUUUCUGCUGGUUUUGUUUUGUUGUAGGCGAAGUUCUUAAUUAUAAUUAUCAAUGUGUUUGUUUUUCUUAAGGACGCAGUGACAUGCAAGGCGAGGGAAAUUGAAGCCAAAACAUGCAGGACGGCCAGGAGUGUGCCAUUUUUUCUAUGACAGGGGGUGGUUCUUCAAUCUUCAGGGAAUCAAGUGGUAGCAUCAGAUACUGACAUGCAUGGAAGGUAGCAGUAUAUGUAUUUGUAGCAAAUCAUCAUCGCCCAUAAAUAAAUCAUCUCUUGCCCGCUUCCUCUGUCCGGUUGUCAACUCAAAUUGCUUUGGUUCACAAGUUCGUUUCAUCGUACAUCUAGGUACACUAGAACUGAGAGACUACUUUCCUUGAAUGGCUCAUGCGAGUAAACUGACAAUAGUAUUCAUCCAAGAUGCAGUAGUAUAUGUAUCUUCAUAGAGAUGUAGAUGCAUAGAUAGUUCAAUAGUGCACAUGUUCAUUGACAGGGAUGUAGAUGUAGUAUACAACCGAGGUUACAUUGACAAGUUGGUCCAUGAUGCUCCCAGGAAAAAGAAAAUAUGAUAUAUUGUUUCACACUAUCAUCCAUAGUGAAACUUGUAUUUAAUAUUUCUUUGUUUUGCAAUGCUGAAUAUUUUGGGAACACACAGUAAGAUGUAAUCUACGGAUUCACCAAAUCAGCUUGAACAUUGUUAUCAUGCUUCGUAUGAUUUGGUAAUGAUUUCAGAACAUGGAAUGGGGCAAAUAAAGUUGAAACCAUGUACUGUUCCUCACAAAAAAAAUAGUUAAUGUCGAGAGGUUUCAUACUGACAUUAUUUCUUACCAACUAAUGGUGCAUUACUCCUGCCAUGAUAACAGCAGCUAACUACUCCAUGAUCACAGCAGUAAACAUUGAUAAGAGUACAAGCAUUGGAGGAGUACUCACCACGUUCGAGGAAGUCGUCAUCAUGGUGGUGGUGGUCGAGGAAGUCGUAGGUGCUGGUGGCAUCAUCACGGAGCAGUUACCAUCUUCUCCUCGACUUAAAAUGUAGUACUCCAUGUACUCCCACUUGUUAACUUUUUGAAAUGCAGAUCCACUCCAAGAAUGUGCUCUGAAAUGGAAGUAACAUGGAGUAUACUCUAAAAAUCAGUAUGGUUUGAGCCCACUAGAUCAAUCAAAGUUCUCCAGCAUGAUAAAAAUAAUACUACAGCAUGAGUAUUGCAGCA